GCCAAACCUUUUCCCUUCAUGCACAAAACUUUUUGCAAUAGACUGUACAUAAGGAUUUUUCCAGAAAUAUAAACAUAGAAAUAUGGCGCAAGAAGAAGGCUGGCCUCCCCGUCAGACACGAGAGCAGGGGGUGACAGUCGGGCGCCCCGGGAAAGGAAAAGAUCAAAGACGGGUGCAAACAUGGGAGAAUGCAUUUUUUUGCUCACGCGCGAGCGAUGCGCCGCGCCGCGCAACGCCGACAACCUUUUUCCGACUGCCCCAAAAUACUAAACCCCGUUUGCAUCCUGUCCACCCCCAAAAUUAAUGGGAUCCCCUUUUUCAGUGUCGCCUCCAGGCGGCGCGACUGCCGCGCGACGGGAUGCCAUCACGCUGGACAGGUUACUUCAAUAGUUACCAGAACUUUUAAAAAAUGAAAGUGUCUGCUUAUUUUGUAUCCAAACCAUCUCAACAAUCAUUAACUUCAAAAUUUGUAAGCACUAUUUUCUUUGAAUUUACUUGCAAUUCAAGUUCUAAACUUGAUUCUAUUCUUAGCUUUUUGUCACAUUCUAAUAACUGCCUAACAGAUAUAUGAUAUUGACCACCUGCCU
rnacentral:lncRNA from 1 species